GGCCUGGUGGUCUGGGGGUAUGAUACUCGCUUCGGGUGUGAGUGGUCCCGGGUUCAAAUCCCGGCCAGGCCC
rfam:Clonorchis sinensis DNA, scaffold: 805, strain: Henan.